AUUGAACGCUGGCGGAAUGCUUUACACAUGCAAGUCGAACGGCAGCACGGACUUCGGUCUGGUGGCGAGUGGCGAACGGGUGAGUAAUACAUCGGAACGUGCCCGGACGUGGGGGAUAACUACUCGAAAGAGUGGCUAAUACCGCAUACGAUCCAAGGAUGAAAGCGGGGGAUCGCAAGACCUCGCGCGUUUGGAGCGGCCGAUGGCAGAUUAGGUAGUUGGUGAGGUAAAGGCUUACCAAGCCUGCGAUCUGUAGCUGGUCUGAGAGGAUGAUCAGCCACACUGGGACUGAGACACGGCCCAGACUCCUACGGGAGGCAGCAGUGGGGAAUAUUAGUAAUGGGCGAAAGCCUGAACUAGCAACGCCGCGUGUGCGAAGAAGGCCUUCGGUUGUAAGCACUUUUGUAGAGGAUGAGGAAGGACGGUACGUCUCAGAAUAAGUACUCGGCUAACUACGUG
rnacentral:rRNA from 1 species